ensembl:lncRNA
UCAAAGAGGCAUGGACCGAUAUUUGGACUCUCUGUUUGACCCUGUUCUGUCUGAUAGUAGCACAGAGAUGGAAAGAUCUUUGUCAGCCAGAAUGAAAGGAGGAGGUGGCAUUGGCAUCACGGAGGAGGACAGAGGAAACAGAGCACCCACUCGGCCGUAUCCACCAGGAAUACACCCUGGAGCUGUGCCAGUGCUCCCAGUAGCAGGAGGAAUGAUGCCACCCAUUCCCACCAUGCCCAUCCCCUCCCACCACCACCACCAUGAACAAUACCACCAACAGCAGCAGCAGCCGCCUCCACCGGAGCCAGAGCCGCCCACGUACCACCAGUACAACCGACCACAGCCCGCCCGCCAGAGGACUCUCACUUCUGACACCCCUCCCUCCCAUGUCUCA